ensembl:lncRNA
CAACUCUGGCGCUCAGCCUGCUUAGGUCGAUCGCAUUUCUUCAACUCACACUUAGAGCAGUGAAAAAGAAGACAGCCAAUCAGAGGCAAAGAAACGCCCCCAGCUCUGUCUCUUAUUGGUGACAACCAUGGGUGACAACAAAUCAGGCGUCCAUAGAGAGAUGCUGCGCUUCCGCAAAAAAAAAAAAAAAAUUCACCCGAGCAGCGUCAGGUGCACCAGUGCGACGUAGAAUUUUUUUUAGUCGCACUAUUAAAUAUUUUGGUCGCAUGUGCGACCAAAUUGGUCGCACUCUGGAGCCCUGCCUCGAGGUAUUAUUCUUUACAAUUAACAUGGCUCCUAAAACGCUCGCUUGGUCGAACAAGGAGGUGGAGACGUUCCUCGGCAUUCUUGGGGAGGUAGACGUGCAGAGGAAGCUUGAUGGAGCAGUGAGGAACGAGAAGGUCUUCCAGCUGGUUUCUGGUCGAAUGGCGAUUGCGGGGUACGAAAAGAACACUGAGCAGUGUCGGCGGAAAUGCAAGAAGCUCCGGGCCGAGUAUCGGAAGGUCAAAGACCACAACAUCCGCAGUGGCGUCGACAGAAAGAUGUGGAAUUGGUUUGAUAUCAUGGACGCAAUCUACGGACACCGACCGGCGAGUAGGGGAAGAGAGGGGGCCAUCGACACGGCCACCUCUCUGCUCGAGUCCAUGUUGGAGCCUACCGGUGUGGAACCUCGCUGCCAGGAAGUGCCUGACUCGGCCUUCCCAGAGGACGAAGACAUGGGGUCAAGCCGCUGUGUGAGCCCAACGCCACCACCAAGGACAUCUACACCAGUCCCAGCGGAGAGUGCUGCUCUUUGCAGCACCACCAACCCCACCUAUCCACGGCCUUUUGCCUUUGCCAAAAGAAGUAGGGCCAGUGACGUUGCAGCGAGCAUCCGGGAAAUGCAGGCAUCCGAGGAGAGGCGGCAGGAGCGGGAAGAGGAGCGGCUGGACCAUAGACACCGGGUCGCUUCGAGAGGAGGCCCUACAGGAUGCCAUGGAUGCUCGACUGCACGAGGAUCAACGAGCAAUGCAGCAGAUGGCGCAAGUUGCAGCCUUCAACACCGCCUUCCUCCAAAGCUUCAGCCAGAUGGUGCAGGCGUUUGGACACCGCGACCCUGUUCCGUGAUCCAGCCAUUCAGGGCCUGACCCUCUGAACCUUUUUUUUUUUUUUUGUGCGAAUACGUUGUUUUUUUACUGUAAAUAUUCCUGUAUUUUUUCUCUUUAAUAAAAAAUAUAUACUAAA